rnacentral:rRNA from 1 species
CCUACGGGUGGCAGCAGUGGGGAAUAUUGGUCAAUGGGCGCAAGCCUGAACCAGCCAUGUAGCGUGAAUGAUGACUGCCCUCUGGUUGGUAAACAUCUUUUAUGGGGGAGUAGAACGUGGAGCGUGUGCCUUUUUUCAUGUACUUUAUGAGUAAGAGUCGGCUAACUCCGUGCCAGCAGCCGCGGUAAUACGGAGGGUACGAUCGUUAUCCGGAUUUAUUGGGUUUAAAGGGAGCGUAGAGGGGUUGUUAAGUCAGUUGUGAAAGUCUGCGGCUCAACCGGAAAAUUGCAAGUGAUACUGGCAGGCUUGAGUAUAGUUGAGGUAGGUGGAAUUCGUGGUGUAGCGGUGAAAUGCGUAGAGAUCACGAAGAAUCCCGAUUGCGAAGGCAGCUCACUAAACGGUGACUGACACUGAGGUGCGAAAGUGUGGGUAUCAAACAGGAUUAGAUACCCUUGUAGUC